rnacentral:lncRNA from 1 species
ACCAUGCCUGCCAGGAUGCUGCCUUGAUGAUAAUGGACAGAACCUCUGAACCUAUCCAAUAUUCUCUGGGUGGGGGAUUAUAGCACAGUCCUUUCCCGAAGCUUAGAGUGUGGGUGUAGCAAACGUUACACACAACAUUGGAAAGGAUCCUGAAGUUACACAGUAGGCCCAAAUGCCUUACGUCAGCUCAGAAUAAAUAAAUCCAUAUAAAGAGGGCCAAGAAAAAGCUCGCAGUUCCCACUAAAGUAGCCCUUACCUUCCAUACGGGUUCUCCAGGACUGUUUUUAACAUGAGGCACAUUGAAAUUCAACAUCCGCUUCAGAGCCACUGAAAAUAAAGUUGACAUCAGUU